rnacentral:rRNA from 1 species
UACGAGGGGGGCGAGCGUUGUUCGGAAUUAUUGGGCGUAAAGGGCGCGUAGGCGGUCGGAUAAGUCUUGUGUGAAAUCUUCGGGCUCAACUCGAAGUCUGCACAGGAAACUAUCUGGCUUGAGUGUGGGAGAGGUGAGUGGAAUUCCCAGUGUAGAGGUGAAAUUCGUAGAUAUUCGCAAGAACACCAGUGGCGAAGGCGGCUCACUGGCCCGGUACUGACGCUGAGGUGCGAAAGCGUGGGGAGCAAACAGG